UUUGGUGGCAAUGUCGCAGGGGAAAUACCCGUUCCCAUUCCGAACACGGAAGUUAAGCCCUGCAGAGCCGAUGGUACUAAUCGGGAAGCUGAUUGGGAGAGUAGGACGCCGCCCAGG
rnacentral:rRNA from 1 species